rnacentral:rRNA from 1 species
AUUGAACGCUGGCGGCAUGCCUAACACAUGCAAGUCGAACGGCAGCAUGGUCUGUAGCAAUACAGGCUGAUGGCGAGUGGCGAACGGGUGAGUAAUACAUCGGAACGUGCCCGAUCGUGGGGGAUAACGGAGCGAAAGCUUUGCUAAUACCGCAUACGAACUACGGAUGAAAGCAGGGGACCGCAAGGCCUUGCGCGGACGGAGCGGCCGAUGGCAGAUUAGGUAGGUGGUGGGAUAAAAGCUUACCAAGCCGACGAGCUGUAGCUGGUCUGAGAGGACGACCAGCCACACUGGGACUGAGACACGGCCCAGACUCCUACGGGAGGCAGCAGUGGGGAAUUCUGGACAAUGGGCGCAAGCCUGAUCCAGCCAUGCCGCGUGCAGGAUGAAGGCCUUCGGGUUGUAAACUGCUUUUGUACGGAACGAAACGGCUCUUUCUAAUAAAGAGGGCUAAUGACGGUACCGUAAGAAUAAGCACCGGCUAACUACGUGCCAGCCGCCGCCGUAA